GUGCCAGCAGCCGCGGUAAUACAGAGGUCUCAAGCGUUGUUCGGAUUCAUUGGGCGUAAAGGGUGCGUAGGCGGGUUCGAAAGUCUGUGGUGAAAUCCUCCAGCUUAACUGGAGAAGUGCCAUGGAUACUGCGAACCUCGAGGAGGGUAGGGGCAUCUGGAACGGUCGGUGGAGCGGUGAAAUGCGUUGAUAUCGACCGGAACUCCGGUGGCGAAGGCGAGGUGCUGGACCCUUUCUGACGCUGAGGCGCGAAAGCCAGGGGAGCGAACGGGAUUAGAAACCCGGGUAGUCC
rnacentral:rRNA from 1 species